rnacentral:rRNA from 1 species
CAGCCGCCACGGGAAAACCGAGGGUGCAAGCGUUAAUCGGAAUUACUGGGCGUAAAGCGCGCGUAGGUGGUUUGUUAAGUUGGAUGUGAAAGCCCCGGGCUCAACCUGGGAACUGCAUCCAAAACUGGCAAGCUAGAGUACGGUAGAGGGUGGUGGAAUUUCCUGUGUAGCGGUGAAAUGCGUAGAUAUAGGAAGGAACACCAGUGGCGAAGGCGACCACCUGGACUGAUACUGACACUGAGGUGCGAAAGCGUGGGGAGCAAACAGGAUUAGAUACCCGUGUAGUCCCUGUCUCUUAUAC